GGAGUUUAGUGGUACAAUUAUCAGUCACUGCAGCCUUGAAAUCCUGGACUCAAGGGGUCCUCCCACCUCAGUCUCCCCAGUAACUAAGAGUACAGGUGCGCAUCAUUGCAUCCAGUUAAUUUUUAAAUUUUUUUUGUAGACACGGGAUCUUGCCAUGUUCCCCAGACUGGUCUUGAACUCCUGGGCUCAAGCAAUCCUCCUGCCUCAGCCUCCCAAAUUGCUGGGACUACAGAUUUUUCCUGAAGAACACAUCCUCAAUAAAUCACCGGCGUCCAAAUCUCCAUCUCAGGCUCUACUUCUGGCAAGGCAUACUAUGAGGCUAGUGAAGCACCUACAAGAAACUUAUAACUCAAGGUUGUAAAAAUGGCAUGGUGACUCUUACAAUCGUAUCACAGUGGGACCCUCCAGCAAUUUAACCCUCAUGACCUAGGUGAAAGCUGUAAAAGGAUCCACAUUAAUUCUUCAGAGGCAGGGCUAAGACUUUCAAGACUGAAAAGAGACUAGCAUAAGCAGACUUAACAGGAACCCAGUCAAGGCCAUUCAUGGCCAUGGGACCAUGCAUAAAUGGAGAAUGAGUAAAUUUCGCUAAGUCCAAGGACAUCGGAAAGAUAGAACCACUAUUACUGAUAAGGUGACUGAAUCAACAACAUACUGCCGCUAUGAAGUAAUAAGCAAAUAAAAAGUUAAAAAAUGUAACAGAUAACAGUUGGAGGGUGAAUAUAUUUUAAAUCAAUCA